CCUCGGAGGCAGCAGUGAGGAAUAUUGGUCAAUGGGCGGAAGCCUGAACCAGCCAAGUCGCGUGAGGGAAUAAGGCCCUACGGGUCGUAAACCUCUUUUGCCGGGGAGCAAGGGCGGGGACGUGUCCCGGCCCGGAGAGUACCCGGAGAAAAAGCAUCGGCUAACUCCGUGCCAGCAGCCGCGGGCAUACGGAGGAUGCGAGCGUUAUCCGGAUUUAUUGGGUUUAAAGGGUGCGUAGGCGGGCUUUUAAGUCAGCGGGAAGAAUUCGGGGCUCAACCCCGCCCGGCCGUUGAAUCUGAGGGCCU
rnacentral:rRNA from 1 species